CUUGUAUUAAAAUGUUAUGUGCUUAAAUAAACGAGUGUGUUUUUCAAAUAAACUUCAAAUGGAUCGAAUUGUUAAUGUUAAAGAUCCCAAAAUGAACGACAUAAGGGGCAUGGCCACUUUUUUUUGCGCAUAAUUACCACUGAUGCAGAUCCCAUAGCGAAUGAUAUGGCGUGUGUCUAUAGCCAGACAUAAAGGGCACGGCCACUUCAUAUUCCACCUGAACAUUGGGCGGAGAUUGCGGACGCACUGCUAAAGCGGUGCGUUCCAGCGCUGGAUUGGAGCUGGUCAGCGUACGUUGACGCAUAAACGAUUGUGUACCAUUGUUGUUGUUCAGCAACGUUUGUUGAGCAACGUUUCCGCCAGUUGGAGGAGGUCCAGCAACUGAUUGGCCCAUGCCAAACCAGUUUUGUGCAUUCGUGUUAAACAUUGUUGCCGGCUGCAGCAACAAAGACUUGGCAAUAUUCACGUACAAUUUAAAAACACACUGAAAUUUACUCAAUAUGUACUAAAGCUUGACGGAUUAUUCGGAAA